GACGAACGCUGGCGGCGUGCUUAACACAUGCAAGUCGAACGGAAAGGCCCUGCUUUUGUGGGGUGCUCGAGUGGCGAACGGGUGAGUAACACGUGAGUAACCUGCCCUUGACUUUGGGAUAACUUCUGGAAACUGGGGCUAAUACCGGAUAGGAUCUCCUGCUGCAUGGUGGUGGUUGGAUAGUUUCGGCGGUUGGGGAUGGACUCGCGGCUUAUCAGCUUGUUGGUGAUGUAGUGGCUUACCAAGGCUUUGACGGGUAGCCGGCCUUAGAGGGUGACCGGCCACAUAGGGACCGGGAGACGUCCCAGAUUACGACCGAAAGCAGCAGUGGAGAAUAUUGCGCAGUUGAGUGAAGCCUGAUGCAGCAACGCCGCGUGCGGAAUGACGACCUUCGGGUUGUAAACCGCUUUCGCCUGUGACGAACCGUGAGUGACGGUAAUGGGUAAAAAAGCACCGGCUAACUACGUG
rnacentral:rRNA from 1 species